rnacentral:misc_RNA from 1 species
AUUCACAGGAAGAGGAUGAACAGGAUGAUCACUUGAAGAAUGGCAAACGAGAUUUGCCGAGAUCUUCAAAACAUUGGUUUGCUAGCAAAGGAAAGCUGGAGUCAAAUCCUAAGAUGUACCCUGUAACAACUGCGUGGGUCCGGAGACAAAUCUUAACACCUUCCAAACACCAGUCGGAGGAGAGAAAGGAUGUUCAGGUGGUCUUCUCAAGGAGGAGGAAGAAUG